AGUGAACGCUGGCGGUAGGCCUAACACAUGCAAGUCGAACGAGUGGCGGACGGGUGAGGAAUACAUCGGAAUCUACUCUGUCGUGGGGGAUAACGUAGGGAAACUUACGCUAAUACCGCAUACGAUUGAAUGAGCCGAUGUCGGAUUAGCUAGUUGGCGGGGUAAAGGCCCACCAAGGCGACGAUCCGUAGCUGGUCUGAGAGGAUGAUAACGAACACUGGAACGGAGACACGGUCCAGCCCCCUACGGAGGGCAGCGGGGGGGAAUAUUGGACAAUGGGCGCAAGCCUGAUCCAGCCAGACCGCGUGGGUGAAGAAGGCCUUCGGGUGGUAAAGCCCUUUUGUUGGGAAAGCGGUACCCAAAGAAUAAGCACCGGCUAACUUCGUGCCAGCCGCCGCGGUAAUUC
rnacentral:rRNA from 1 species